GCCCUCAAAGAUGUACAGGUGCCAUAUAUCUACAUAAUAUUGCCUGAGAAAGGAACCUAGAAGUGGAGGAGGAAGAGGAAGAAAUGGCAGGUUCUCAGGUCUUGCUGUCUCUAAGCUGAACCUGGUCACCUUUUUUGAGCAAAGGAAAGAGCCCUGGGAUGUGAAGAAAAGGAGACAACAGUCAUACACCCAGGUUGGCAUAUCAGCGUUUCAAGGUUCUUUUGCCUGUGGGCGUGGUGGGAACAGGUGAAGGAGCUGUGCUGACGCCACAGAAGGUAUAUUCUCAAGAUGCUGACCUGAUUCCUCAACAUAAUACCGAUGAGAAAACAACCCAGAGCAGGAGGAAGAAGAGGAGAAGAUGGCAGCUCAGGUAAACGUCCUGUCCCGGGUCAGAGGCCGUGUCUGCUUUUUCUCCUGAAAUGUCAUGGAUUGAGAACCUGCAAACGUUUCAUUUUCUACUUCUGAUGUUCCUGCCUAGCAAGGUUGUUUUCAGCUACUUGUUUUUUCCUUCUUAUGAUAGUCAGCUCUUUACAAUACUUCUCUGUGUUCCAGAGCCUUUUCCCUAUUGUCUGCAUCCAGGCUCCCUACAGAGCAUGGAGAAUUCUCACCAUGAAUUAACGACCUUCAACUAUUGAAAUUAUUCCUUUUAUGAAAGAUCAACAUGGGAAGGCAUUAAUAUCCCAAACGCCCUCUGGGAUAAUUUCAGAUGUUGAGAUAUUAGUAAAGAAGGAGAAAGUGGAAUGAUUAAUGUACGUCUGAAUGCAACAUCAACUUAGCACCACAGGAUUAACGCACUUUUUUUUUUUUUUUUUGCGG